GUGAACGCUGGCGGUAGGCCUAACACAUGCAAGUCGUACGGCAGCACAGUAAGAGCUUGCUCUUACGGGUGGCGAGUGGCGGACGGGUGAGGAAUACCUCGGAAUCUACUUUUUCGUGGGGGAUAACGUAGGGAAACUUACGCUAAUACCGCAUACGACCUACGGGUGAAAGCAGGGGAUCUUCGGACCUUGCGCGAUUGAAUGAGCCGAUGUCGGAUUAGCUAGUUGGCGGGGUAAAGGCCCACCAAGGCGACGAUCCGUAGCUGGUCUGAGAGGAUGAACAGCCACCGUGGAGCUAGGACACGGUCCGGACUCCUACAGGAGGCAACAGUGGGGAAUAUUGGACAAUGGGCGCAAACCUGAUCCAGCCAUACCGAGUGGGUGAAGAAGGCCUUCGGGUUGUAAAGCCCUUUUGUUGGGAAAGAAAAGCAGCAGGUUAAUACCCCGCUGUUCUGACGGUACCCAAAGAAUAAGCACGGGCUAGCUUCGUG
rnacentral:rRNA from 1 species